rnacentral:sRNA from 1 species
AUGGUUCAAAUGGAUCAAUGCAGCAGAGUACAUCAUAUUUGCCCCAAAGCGUUUCCAAUCCUUGUGACUAUAACUGCAUUUGUUGUGCCCGUUUUCACGUUGGAAACCCUUGCCCUUGUAAUACACCGAAGACAUCCAUUUGGACCCAAACAGACCAAGAAGUUCCCCAGGGACUCGAUUCUGAGCGUUUUUGGAAACGUUGAACCUAUGAGCAUAGCAUUGCAGUUGUACAGAACUCAAGCCAUGAAGGAUGGGCAGAAGUCGGUUUUUCGAUUCUUGUGCAGGUCUAGGAAAGAGAAGUCUCAGACCACACCAGCUGCAACCAGCACAUUGUUUAAAGAUGCCCAUGAUAUAGGAGCAGACAAUCGUGGAGAUGACGUCCACACCUCCCUCUGA